rnacentral:rRNA from 1 species
UACAGAGGGUGCAAGCGUUGUUCGGAAUUAUUGGGCGUAAAGCGCGUGUAGGCGGCUUAGUAAGUUGGGUGUGAAAGCCCUCGGCUUAACCGAGGAAGUGCGCCCAAAACUGCUUGGCUUGAGUACCGGAGAGGAUGGCGGAAUUCCCGGUGUAGAGGUGAAAUUCGUAGAUAUCGGGAGGAACACCAGCGGCGAAGGCGGCCAUCUGGACGGUAACUGACGCUGAGACGCGAAAGCGUGGGGAG